UACAGAGGUCUCAAGCGUUGUUCGGAUUCAUUGGGCGUAAAGGGUGCGUAGGCGGCGCGGUAAGUCGGGGUGUGAAAUCUCGGAGCUUAACUCCGAAACUGCAUUCGAUACUGUGGUGCUUGAGGACUGGAGAGGAGACUGGAAUUCAUGGUGUAGCAGUGAAAUGCGUAGAGAUCAUGAGGAAGACCAGUGGCGAAGGCGGGUCUCUGGACAGUUCCUGACGCUGAGGCACGAAGGUCAGGGGAGCAAACGGG
rnacentral:rRNA from 1 species